UGUAGUUUUAAUAUUAAUAGAGUGUAAUGCAUUUGAAAUGUCAAAUUCCUUAUUACUAAAAGGAUUACGUGAACGGAAAGUGUGAAGCUUAUAUUUAAAACAACAAAUUUCCCCAUUAUUUGUUGUUCAUUUUCCGACUUGUUGACUAACUAUGAGUCCAUCGUCGUCAGUCGUUUGAUGGUCAAUUUGAGUGACUCGUGACACGAUUUUGAUUCGUUGGUCAUCAAUGUAACAAACAUAUGACGACACUUGAACGUCCACUUAAUGUCAUAGAUUGUUAUGGCGACGCAGCUUGACCCAGGAUGUGACCCCUCUUGUUUCAUACCGUUCGGCCUAUCUGAUAUCGGUUUCGUAUGUGAAAAUACAGUAUAUUUAUUUCUGUGUUUUUGUAGUAAAUUGAACUGGACACAAGUAACAAUACAGACGUAGAUACAAUUAGUUAGGGUUAGGACUAGGUUUGAAAAAUAUUAGAACCCAUUUGUUGCAUGGGGCAAAAAUUUUAAGCAAAUUUAAUGGCCUUCAAAACAUACUUCAUACUUUUUAUUUCUCGUAUAUGUCUUACACAUUGACCCCAGCUGUACUGCAAUAUUUUUAAAUAACCUUAUCUGCAACCACUACGAAUUUCGAAAUAUUACACAAACCCAGGCACUUACACCAUCAUAUGAUUAUUUCAUGUAUGAUCUAACCUAUUUUUCAUUUUAUUUUUCAGAUAAAAAUGAUCUAAUAUGAUAUGGUGCAUUAAAGUGUAUAUGACAGUUUAACGACGUUGGAGAUGAGUAAUGGCAAUGAACUGACAACAUGAAACGGUCAACAUACAGGGCUGACCAGGAGAUAUUUUUGGUCAUUUAAUUAAGCUUCAAGAAGAUUGGUCAAAAUUGGUUGAUGCUGUCACUGAACCCAGUUCGCUUCAAUUAUAUGGAACAACAAUAUCUGCUGUCGAAAAAAAUGCCAAUUAUACUGUGGUUUGGCAGUAAAAUAUUAACUGCCCUUGGAAUUGUACGCUUCUAAAUAAAUACCUUUCCGUCAUAGAUCGUCAUAUAUUAGCAUCACCACAGUUUAAUAAACGCUGUCUAUACCUGCCUAUAAGACCAUGUCGCUGAUGAUAAAACUAAAAAAAUAUGCAAAACGAUAAAAUACAUACCGAAAUCCGUGCAGAUGAUUAUGCUCACUUUUAGAAUGGCUACAUGGGUAGGAAACAUAUUGUAAUGAGGUCCAUCUUUGACUUGUACUACAUACAAUGCAAUUCUAAUAUAGAGUUGUGGGUACUUUCUGUGUAUUACUCAAAUACGUCGCUAAAUGGAUAUUAUACAGUUAACAUUUUGCUAUUACAUACCCCCAGUUGUGAUUGAAAUUUUUUGUAGUACAAGUUUCAAGUUUGGUCUUAUAUUCAUAUUUUUUCACAAAACUGUUUUCGUUCAUGUAGCUUAAAGACCGAUGACAAAAUAAUCUGAUUUGGUGUCGAUUACAAGAUGCGACCACGCUGUCACUCAAAGUAAUUUAAAAAAACGUAGGUAAGGGCGCGUAUGUCUAUGAGCCACACUUGAAAACGAACGAUUCGUCAUUUUUCAUGUCGUUUAUAUUCAAUACAUUCAAAGCAAGUCUGAA